rnacentral:rRNA from 1 species
AGUGAAAAAGUUUACUUUUUCAUGUAUAUGAUGGCGUCAUACUUCCAAGAAAAGCUCGAACUAUCAAUGCGAUAUAUAAACCCGUACCCGAAUCCGACACAGGUAGGUAGGUAGAGAAUACCAAGGGGCGCGAGAUAACUCUCUCUAAGGAACUCGGCAAAAUAAUUCCGUAACUUCGGGAGAAGGAAUGCCUCUGAUGAAGAGGUCGCAGAGAAUAGGCCCAGGCGACUGUUUACCAAAAACACAGGUCUCCGCAAAGUCGUAAGACGAUCUAUGGGGGCUGACGCCUGCCCGGUGCCGGACGGUGAAGGAAGUUGGUUAUUCGCAAGGAGAAGCUGACGACCGAAGCCCCGGUGAACGGCGGCCGUAACGAUAACGGUCCUAAGGUAGCGAAAUUCAUUGUCGGGUAAGUUCCGACCCGCACGAAAGGCGUAACGAUCUGGGCACUGUCUCGGAGAGAGACUCGGUGAAAUAGACAUAUCCGUGAAGAUGCGGAUUAAUUGCACCUGGACAGAAAGACCCUAUGAAGCUUUACUGUAGCCUGGAAUUGAAAUUGGGCUCGUUUUGCGCAGCCUAGGUGGGAGGCGUUGAAAAUCUUUCUCCGGGAAGAUUGGAGCCGUCAUUGAGAGACCACUCUUAACGAGCUAGAUUUCUAAUUGUGAUUCCUUGAAUCAGGACACAAGACAGUUUCUGGUGGGCAGUUUUAUUGGGGCAAUAGCCUCCUAAAAGGUAACGGAGGCGCGCAAAGGUCCCCUCAGACUAGACGGAAAUUAGUCGUAGAGCGUAAAGGCAGAAGGGGGCUUAACUGCAAGACCGACAAGUCAAGCGGGAGCGAAAGCUGGCCUUAGUGAUCCGGCGGUACCGUGUGGAAGGGCCGUCGCUCAACGGAUAAAAGUUACUCUAGGAUAACAGGCUGAUCUUCCCCAAGAGUUCACAUCGACGGGAAGGUUUGGCACCUCGAUGUCGGCUCAUCGCAACCUGGUGCGGAAGUACGUGCCAAGGGUUAGGCUGUUCGCCUAUGAAAGCGGUACGUGAGCUGGGUUCAGAACGUCGUGAGACAGUUCGGUCCAUAUCCGGUGUAAUCGUUAGAGCAUUGAGAGGAGCCUUCCAUAGUACGAGAGGACCUGGAAGGACGUGCCUCUAGUAUACCAGUUCUUGCACCAGCAGGACCGCUGGGUAGCUAUGCACGGAGCGGAUAACAGCUGAAAGCAUCUAAGUCGGAAGCCCACCUCAAGAUGAGUGCUCUCUAAGGCAACGGUAAGACUAACCGUUUGAUAGGUGUCAAGUGUAAGGCGAGCAAUCGUUUCAGCUGAGACAUACUAAUCCGCCGAUUGA